rnacentral:rRNA from 1 species
UACGUAGGUCCCGAGCGUUGUCCGGAUUUAUUGGGCGUAAAGCGAGCGCAGGUGGUUUAUUAAGUCUGGCGUAAAAGGCAGUGGCUCAACCAUUGAAUGCAUUGGAAACUGGUAGACUUGAGUGCAGGAGAGGAGAGUGGAAUUCCAUGUGUAGCGGUGAAAUGCGUAGAUAUAUGGAGGAACACCGGUGGCGAAAGCGGCUCUCUGGCCUGUAACUGACACUGAGGCUCGAAAGCGUGGGGAGCAAACAGG